GACGAACGCUGGCGGCGUGCCUAAUACAUGCAAGUAGAACGCUGAAGGAGGAGCUUGCUUCUCUGGAUGAGUUGCGAACGGGUGAGUAACGCGUAGGUAACCUGCCUGGUAGCGGGGGAUAACUAUUGGAAACGAUAGCUAAUACCGCAUAAGAGUAGAUGUCGCAUGACAUUUGCUUAAAAGGUGCAAUUGCAUCACUACCAGAUGGACCUGCGUUGUAUUAGCUAGUUGGUGGGGUAACGGCUCACCAAGGCGACGAUACAUAGCCGACCUGAGAGGGUGAUCGGCCACACUGGGACUGAGACACGGCCCAGACUCCUACGGGAGGCAGCAGUAGGGAAUCUUCGGCAAUGGACGGAAGUCUGACCGAGCAACGCCGCGUGAGUGAAGAAGGUUUUCGGAUCGUAAAGCUCUGUUGUAAGAGAAGAACGAGUGUGAGAGUGGAAAGUUCACACUGUGACGGUAUCUUACCAGAAAGGGACGGCUAACUACGUGCCAGCAGCCGCGGUAAUACGUAGGUCCCGAGCGUUGUCCGGAUUUAUUGGGCGUAAAGCGAGCGCAGGCGGUUAGAUAAGUCUGAAGUUAAAGGCUGUGGCUUAACCAUAGUACGCUUUGGAAACUGUUUAACUUGAGUGCAAGAGGGGAGAGUGGAAUUCCAUGUGUAGCGGUGAAAUGCGUAGAUAUAUGGAGGAACACCGGUGGCGAAAGCGGCUCUCUGGCUUGUAACUGACGCUGAGGCUCGAAAGCGUGGGGAGCAAACAGG
rnacentral:rRNA from 1 species